rnacentral:snRNA from 1 species
ACAGCAAGGGCGGCUAUGUAUAUUACUACUAACGAUACAGAGAAGAUUAGCAUGGCCCCUGCGCAAGGAUGACACGCAAAAUCGUGAAGCGUUCCAAACUUUU